rnacentral:rRNA from 1 species
GACGAACGCUGGCGGCGUGCCUAAUACAUGCAAGUCGAACGCAGUGGGGACGGGUGAGUAACACGUGGGUAACCUCCCAUCAGAGGGGAUAACACUUGGAAACAGGUGCUAAACCGAUACUGAUGGAUGGACCCGCGGUGCAUUAGCUAGUUGGUGAGGUAACGGCUAACCAAGGCCACGAUGCAUAGCGGACCUGAGGGGGGGAUCGGCCACACUGGGACUGAGACACGGCCCAGACUCCUACGGGAGGCAGCAGUAGGGAAUCUUCGGCAAUGGACGAAAGUCUGACCCAGCAACGCCGCGUGAGUGAAGAAGGUUUUCGGAUCGUAAAGCACUGUUAGUGGGGAGGCGGUAUCUAAAGAGAAAGCAACGGCUAACUACGUGCCAGCAGCCGCGGUAAUAC